AAGUAAUGCUGACUUAAAAAGUCUAUAAUGGUAAAAAUAAGUGACAUUUCUACCAAUAACUGCAUUAUCAAUCACAGCGUAACUGAACCGUGAUUUCCUAGAAGAUUGUUCUCUAUUGCUUUGGCAAUAGAAUAUGGGGACCUACUGAAGUUCACGUCAACAAUUCCCCCAUAAAGUUACAAUAAGCUUAACAGACUGUCUCUCCAGGUCUAUAAUGAUGACUGGAAUAGGAAAUUCGGACAGCACAAGUGGUCGCUUCUUAGGCUUCCUGCCAGAUUUUGAAAACCACUAUAACAAGUCGUUUCUGCCAAGGGCUAGGAGAAUUGGGAAAGUACCUGGAUUAUCAGCAAGGAUGGUGGGAAGGAGGAAUAUGAGCACACACUGCAAGGCAGGAUG
rnacentral:lncRNA from 1 species